rnacentral:rRNA from 1 species
AUUGAACGCUGGCGGCAUGCCUUACACAUGCAAGUCGAACGGCAGCACGGGAGCAAUCCUGGUGGCGAGUGGCGAACGGGUGAGUAAUGUAUCGGAACGUACCUUUCAGUGGGGGAUAACGUAGCGAAAGUUACGCUAAUACCGCAUAUUCUGUGAGCAGGAAAGCAGGGGAUCGCAAGACCUUGCGCUGAUUGAGCGGCCGAUAUCAGAUUAGCUAGUUGGUGGGGUAAAAGCUCACCAAGGCGACGAUCUGUAGCGGGUCUGAGAGGAUGAUCCGCCACACUGGAACUGAGACACGGUCCAGACUCCUACGGGAGGCAGCAGUGGGGAAUUUUGGACAAUGGGCGCAAGCCUGAUCCAGCCAUGCCGCGUGAGUGAAGAAGGCC